AACGGCCAUACCAUGCGGAAUAUACCGGUUCUCGUUAGAUCACCGGAAGUCAAGCAUCAUUGGGCGCGGUCAGUAUUUGGGUGGGUGACCACCUGGGAACACCGCGUGCCGUU
rnacentral:rRNA from 1 species